rnacentral:rRNA from 6 species
CGGCCGGGAACUCAAAGGAGACUGCCAGUGAUAAACUGGAGGAAGGUGGGGAUGACGUCAAGUCAUCAUGGCCCUUACGACCAGGGCUACACACGUGCUACAAUGGCGCAUACAAAGAGAAGCGACCUCGCGAGAGCAAGCGGACCUCAUAAAGUGCGUCGUAGUCCGGAUUGGAGUCUGCAACUCGACUCCAUGAAGUCGGAAUCGCUAGUAAUCGUGGAUCAGAAUGCCACGGUGAAUACGUUCCCGGGCCUUGUACACACCGCCCGUCACACCAUGGGAGUGGGUUGCAAAAGAAGUAGGUAGCUUAACCUUCGGGAGGGCGCUUACCACUUUGUGAUUCAUGACUGGGGUGAAGUCGUAACAAGGUAACCGUAGGGGAACCUGCGGUUGGA